CGUAGGGGCAAGCGUUGUCCGGAAUUAUUGGGCGUAAAGCGCGCGCAGGCGGCCUGUUAAGUCUGGUGUGAAAGACCACGGCUCAACCGAGGGGUGGCAUCAGAAACUGGCGGGCUUGAGUGCAGGAGAGGAGAGUGGAAUUCCCGGUGUAGCGGUGGAAUGCGUAGAGAUCGGGAGGAACACCAGUGGCGAAGGCGACUCUCUGGCCUGUAACUGACGCUGAGGCGCGAAAGCGUGGGGGAGCGAACAGGAUU
rnacentral:rRNA from 1 species